GGUAUUUCUGAGCUUUUAAAAUUUCUUUUUUUUAAACUUUUACUUGGAAUACUUUAUGCAUUGCAGGGAUCCAGUGGAGAAAUUUUUGGUGGCCUAUGCAGUUGAAGGGAAACACUGGAGAAAUCGUUGUCUAUACUGCCAUUUGGAAUGCUCCAUGAGUCUUCAGGACUCCACUGGAGAAAUUUAUGUAUUGAAGGAAACUAUUAGCAGGAUUUUCACCCAGAACACAAAAAUUAUUUUUUUACAUGACGCCCAACUCAGCCCAGCGCACUCCAUCUUUGCUUCUGCUGCUGUUCCUGUCUUCCUAACCCUUGAAGUCCUAGUACAAAUUCUGCAGGACUGA
rnacentral:lncRNA from 1 species